rnacentral:ncRNA from 1 species
UUUAUAGUACUGGUAUACAGUAUGUAGAGUAGAAUACGUGGUAAUCUUAUACCUUCCUGCUAGGGAAUUGUUUAGAUUUCUUUGAAAUACCAUUUCUAUUAUAAUAGAUAUCCAAUAUCCUUGAAAAGGAAUCAACCAUGCAUGGUUGGUAGUUUGACUGGGGCGGUCACCUCCCAAGAGUAACGGAGGUAACAAAGGUAAGCUCAAAUUGUCAAAACUUCAAUUGUAGAAUGUGAUGGUAUAUGUAAGCUUGCUUGACUGAGAAAUAGACAUUUCAACAGGGACGAAAUAUUCUGAAUUUUCUGGAAAUUUGAUUG